ACUCCUGCGGGAGGCAGCAGUGGGGAAUUUUGGACAAUGGGCGAAAGCCUGAUCCAGCAAUGCCGCGUGAGUGAAGAAGGCCUUCGGGUUGUAAAGCUCUUUUGUCAGGGAAGAAACGGUGAAAGCUAAUAUCUUUUGCUAAUGACGGUACCUGAAGAAUAAGCACCGGCUAACUACGUGCCAGCAGCCGCGGUAAUACGUAGGGUGCAAGCGUUAAUCGGAAUUACUGGGCGUAAAGCGUGCGCAGGCGGUUUUGUAAGUCUGAUGUGAAAUCCCCGGGCUCAACCUGGGAAUUGCAUUGGAGACUGCAAGGCUAGAAUCUGGCAGAGGGGGGUAGAAUUCCACGUGUAGCAGUGAAAUGCGUAGAUAUGUGGAGGAACACCGAUGGCGAAGGCAGCCCCCUGGGUCAAGACUGACGCUCAUGCACGAAAGCGUGGGGAGCAAACAGGAUUAGAAACCCGAGUAGUCCCAU
rnacentral:rRNA from 1 species